rnacentral:lncRNA from 1 species
UGGGGUAAUCCAUCUUGCAUCUUCUUCCAGGCUUGAGCCAAUAGUCGAGGAGGGAGGCUGGUCCAAUUCCAGGGGAGGCUAUUUUGAGAUCGCAAAUCUACAGCCACAUGAGCUGGUUAAUUUGCUGGAAGCUACAACUAGAGAAGGUAAGACUAAUCUUCCUUAUAUCUUGAACAAUAGCCAGAAUCUCACAUUGUGUCUUAUGGUUUCUGCAUGCAUCAAGGGGGAGGCAGUCAGAUUCUACCUGGACCUAAUCAUAGUCUAAGUUUUGAGCCAGAACAAUACCCUCUCUCAAGGCCAAAGGUUCAGCCAUAAGAGGGGAAUGAGCGAGGGCUCUGGAGGCACUACCAGCCACAAGGCAGCCCAUAGAGU